rnacentral:tRNA from 1 species
GGGAAGAUGGCCGAGUGGUUAUGGCGCUACGUUCAGGUCUUGGCAUUGCAUCACAGCAGUGACCGGGAUUCGUAGUAGGGCAACCUGCGUGGGUUCGAGUCCCACUCUUCUCA